rnacentral:rRNA from 1 species
UACGUAGGGAGCAAGCGUUGUCCGGAAUCAUUGGGCGUAAAGCGCGCGUAGGCGGCCCUGUAAGUCCGUUGUGAAAGUCAAAGGCUCAACCUUUGAAAGCCGAUGGAUACUGCAGGGCUAGAGUCCGGAAGAGGCGAGCGGAAUUCCUGGUGUAGCGGUGGAAUGCGCAGAUAUCAGGAGGAACACCAAUAGCGAAGGCAGCUCGCUGGGACGGUACUGACGCUAAGGCGCGAAAGCGUGGGGAGCGAACAGG